GUGAGAGCUCCCUGGCUCGAUUAGGAGACAUGUAUUCUAGUCACUCCUCCCCUAUUAAUAGCUCUGUGAUUUGGGGAAGCUGCUUUGGCCUCUGGAUUGAAAAUGCCUCUUCAAAACUGCCAACAGAGAACUUCUCUCCUUUGAGUGAGUUGGAGAAGAUCACCACAGAACACUGCAUUCCACUGUGAAAACAAACCUGGAGGCCAAAGCGUAAGCACUUGCAGGUGGAGGGGCCUCUCUCUUGUGCCGAAAUGAAACCAUACUUCUCAACCUUUUCACCAUGACCUCGAGAAUGCUGAGCUCUGCCAGCCUGAUUUCCUUCUCACCGCUGUGCUACCUGUAACCAACCUGCCAAUGCUGAAGAGCUCUAGUUGGCUCCAUGGAAUGAAUAUCUGUCUCUGCCACUUGACUGUGAGUUCCUCCAGAGCCCGGGAUAUACCUUAGUCAUCUUAGUGUUCCAGCUCGUCCGUAGAACUAAGCAGCUGAACACUUUAGUGUAUUUAGUAUAUUUCUUGAGUUUUUACUGUGUGUCCAGCACUAUGCUGAGCUCUAAGAAUCCCCAAACACCACCUCUGAACCCAGGGAGAGAACAGUUGAUUAAAGAGAUUCAUUUCUAAUUGCUAUGGAGUAAAUCUUUUGUUUCUCCAAAAUUUUUGUGUUGAAAUCUUAACCUCAAAGUGAUGGUAUUAGGAGGUGAGACGUUGGAGAGGUGAUUAGACCCUUAGGGUGGAGCGCUCAUGAAUGGGAUUAUUGCCCUUACAUAGGAGUCCCCAGAGGGAUCCCUCACCCCUCCUCACAUGCGGAGUUGUAGGAAGAUGACUGUCUAUGAACCUGGCAGCUCUCAUCAGACACUACAUCUGCUGGUGCCUUGACCUUGCACUUCCCAGACUCCAGAACUGAAGGAAAUACAUUUUUGUUGUUUAUAAGCUACUCAGUCUACGUUUUUUUUUGUUGUUGUUGUUAUAGCAUCCUGAAUGGACUAAGACGCUAAUAAUCAUCAUGGAAUUUGCAGAGAUGCACAGGGUAUUAAAGAAAACUAGAGGGGAAUAUUUAAUAUGGCCUGUUUUUUUUUUAAGUAUGAAAUUUAUUGUCACAUUGGUUUCCAUACAACACCCAGUGCUCAUCCCAACAGGUGCCCUCCUCAAUGCCCAUCACCCACCCACCCUUCCCUCCCACCCCCGAUCAACCCUCAGUUUGUUCUUAGUUUUUAAGAGUUUCUUUGGCUCCCUCCCUCUCUAACCUUUCUUUCUUUCUUUUUUUUUUUUUUUUCCUUCCCUUCCCCCAUGGUCUUCUGGUAAGUUUCUCAGGCUCCACAUCAGAGUGAAAACAUAUGGUAUCUGUCUUUCUCUGUAUGACUUAUUUCACUUAGCAUCACACUCUCCAGUUCCAUCCAGGUUGCUACAAAAGGCCAUAAUAUGGCCUGUUUGAGGAGAUGUUCAGGGAAGGAUUCCUAGAGAAGGAAAGUGCCGAGCUGCAUUUUUUAGAGGAUGGUAUCCAGUCAAAGGCACUGGCACACGACAUAGCCAGGUGUGGCUGGAGGAACAUCAAAUGUAAAACCAAAAUGAGGCUGGAGAGAAUACCAAGUUGGGGAUAAGACUAGAAUCAGGAAAACCAGGUAGAAGACGGUUGUCGUGGUCCUGGAAAGAGAUUGGAAAGACUUGAACCGGGGCAGUUAGAGACAGAAUGGAAAGAAGAGGACCGACUUUUGCUUGAUUUAGAGAUGAAGUUGUCAGGAUCUGGGGAAAGAGGGAGACAGAGGAGACCAGGAAGACUCCCAGACGGACCCUGGGGCCAUCCCCCCAAGACAGAGGAUAAAGACAGAAAGUCAGGUUUGGGGCAAGACGGUGAGUUCGUUUAAGAUAUCUUGAGUUUGAGGUGCAUCUGACUCAUUCAGGAAAUAUGCAACAUGUACUCAAAGAUCUAUUUGAAGCUUUGUGAGGAUGGGGAGAGGGCUGGGAGUACAUAUAUAAAAUUUGUGGUCAUAAACUGGA